rnacentral:rRNA from 1 species
GACAGAGGGUGCAAACGUUGUUCGGAAUCACUGGGCGUAAAGCGUGUGUAGGCGCUUCUCAAGUCGGGUGUGAAAUCCCAGGGCUCAACCCUGGAAGUGCAUUCGAAACUGGGUAGCUAGAGUACUGGAGAGGAAGGUGGAAUGCUUGGUGUAGAGGUGAAAUUCGUAGAUAUCAAGCGGAACACCGGUGGCGAAGGCGGGUCUCUGGGCCGAUACUGACACUGAGAAGCGAAAGCGUGGGGAGCGAACAGG